rnacentral:lncRNA from 1 species
UGAGAAUAUGGUUCUCUUAACUCUAUUAGACUUAAGCACUAUUUGUGUAAUUCACAUGGAUUGUGCUUGUCUAGUUUUAUUAUGGACCAUUGGAUGGGAUCGACGGUCGGGAUUUAAUCUAUUUGAGAUAUCUUUUUGUUGCCUUGUCUUGGGGAAGAUGUUUUGACUUGAUGGUUGACACAAAAAAGGCUCCCCCUCCCCCACGUUUUUGGUAGAGAGGUCGUUUCUUCCCUUCUUAAGUCGACUCUCUCUCCAUUUUUGCUCUCUCGGUUUUGGUUGAAGGUUGAGGGUCCGGUUGGUGGCAGUUUUUCUGGCGAGGUUCUUUGCCGGUUUCUCUCUCUCUCUCUCUCUUUGGAAGGUGAUUUGCAUUACAUGGAGCUGUUCCUGAGCCUAAAUCAGCCAUAAGAGCAAGGAGAAGUUGCUGUCCAGAUUCGGCCGAGAUCAGGUUGUAUCUUUCCAUUUUAUUUUCUUUGAUUUUGCCUUGAAAUCCUUUAUUGAUUGAUUAUUAUUGUUUGAUUGAACUCCAAGGAUCCCAACAAACUGGUAUCAGAGCAAGGAGGAGUGAAAUCUGUCCAAAAAUCGAUCAAAAACUUCAAGGAAAUCGCGAUUCCCAUUUUUUUGCCGAAUCUGAAACUUCAAAUUCCGGCCAAACUACUGACCUUUUGGCGAAACUGACCUUGGACCCAUAACCA